rnacentral:sRNA from 14 species
AUUUUAUUGAAUCAGAUAGGCUUUAGAGCCUUGAUAUUAAGCACUUUGGUGCGCUUUCCUUUAGUGCUUUUUGAUUUCU